CGAAAAUUAACCUGUCUCUAUUAAUUUCAUAAAAAUUAGUCUCCACGUGAAGAAACGUGGAUCUGCUUGAAGGACAAAAAGACCCUACAGAGCCUUAUUUUACAUAAAGCCCAAGUAAUCCUAAAUCACAUUUACGGUUCCUUUACUAAAAUCUAGUUGGGAGAACUAAGGAGCACCAAAAGCCUCCUCUAACAUUACAAGCUCAUAAGCUAUCCAAGUGAUCCACCAUCAGUGAUUACAAACAUAGGCUACCUUAGGGAUAACAGACUAAUUUUCCUUGCAAGCCCUAAUUAACAGGAAAGAUUGGCACCUCGAUGUUGGCUUAGGAA
rnacentral:rRNA from 1 species